UACUCAAAUACCCCUCGGCAGUUAACUGCAGCCGUAUUUCUAAAAUUUCGGCAGUUAACUGCCGAGGGGUAU
rnacentral:pre_miRNA from 1 species